rnacentral:rRNA from 1 species
GAUCAUGGCUCAGGAUGAACGCUAGCUACAGGCUUAACACAUGCAAGUCGAGGGGCAGCAUGGAGUUUGCUUGCAAACUCUGAUGGCGACCGGCGCACGGGUGAGUAACGCGUAUCCAACCUUCCCUAUACUAGAGAAUAGCCCGGCGAAAGUCGGAUUAAUACUCUAUGUUGUAUUUAGAGGACAUCUGAAGAAUACCAAAGGUUUACCGGUAUAGGAUGGGGAUGCGUCUGAUUAGGUUGUUGGCGGGGUAACGGCCCACCAAGCCGACGAUCAGUAGGGGUUCUGAGAGGAAGGUCCCCCACAUUGGAACUGAGACACGGUCCAAACUCCUACGGGAGGCAGCAGUGAGGAAUAUUGGUCAAUGGGCGAGAGCCUGAACCAGCCAAGUAGCGUGCAGGAUGACGGCCCUAUGGGUUGUAAACUGCUUUUAUGCGGGGAUAAAGUUCACUACGUGUAGUGUUUUGCAGGUACCGCAUGAAUAAGGACCGGCUAAUUCCGUGCCAGCCGCCGC